rnacentral:rRNA from 1 species
UACAGAGGCCUCAAGCGUUGUUCGGAAUCACUGGGCGUAAAGGGUGCGUAGGCUGCGCGGAAAGUCGGAUGUGAAAUCCGGUGGCUCAACCUCCGAAUUGCAUUCGAUACUGCCGCGCUAGAGUGCUGAAUAGGAGUCUGGAAUUCUCGGUGUAGCAGUGAAAUGCGUGGAUAUCGAGAGGAACACUAGUUGCGAAGGCGAGACUCUGGGAAGCUACUGACGCUGAGGCACGAAGGCUAGGGCAGCAAACGGG